rnacentral:rRNA from 1 species
UGGGGAAUUUUGGACAAUGGGCGAAAGCCUGAUCCAGCAAUGCCGCGUGUGUGAAGAAGGCCUUCGGGUUGUAAAGCACUUUUGUCCGGAAAGAAAUCCUUGGCUCUAAUACAGUCGGGGGAUGACGGUACCGGAAGAAUAAGCACCGGCUAACUACGUGCCAGCAGCCGCGGUAAUACGUAGGGUGCAAGCGUUAAUCGGAAUUACUGGGCGUAAAGCGUGCGCAGGCGGUUUGCUAAGACCGAUGUGAAAUCCCCGGGCUCAACCUGGGAACUGCAUUGGUGACUGGCAGGCUAGAGUAUGGCAGAGGGGGGUAGAAUUCCACGUGUAGCAGUGAAAUGCGUAGAGAUGUGGAGGAAUACCGAUGGCGAAGGCAGCCCCCUGGGCCAAUACUGACGCUCAUGCACGAAAGCGUGGGGAGCAAACAGGAUUAGAUACCCUGGUAGUCCACGCCCUAAAACGAUGUCAACUAGUUGUUGGGGAUUCAUUUCCUUAGUAACGUAGCUAACGCGUGAAGUUGACCGCCUGGGGAGUACGGUCGCAGGAUUAAAACUCAAAGGAAUUGACGGGGUCAUAGCUGUUUCCU